rnacentral:rRNA from 1 species
CAGGUCCUACGGGAGGCAGCAGUGAGGAAUAUUGGUCAAUGGGCUUACGCCUGAACCAGCCAAGUCGCGUGAGGGAUGACUGCCCUAUGGGUUGUAAACCUCUUUUGUAUGGGGGGAAUAAGCUUUACGAGUAGAGUGAUGACAGUACCAUACGAAUAAGCAUCGGCUAACUCCGUGCCAGCAGCCGCGGUAAUACGGAGGAUGCGAGCGUUAUCCGGAUUUAUUGGGUUUAAAGGGGGCGUAGGCGGCAUUAUAAGUUAGUGGUAAAAUAUUGUGGCUUCACCUCACUACGCCAUUAAUACUGU